GGGCUUCCCUGAACCGCAUGAAAAUGGAAGUGAAGUUCACUCAAUUGUGUACGACUCUUUGUGACUCCAUGGACUGUACAGUCCAUGGAAUUCUCCAGGCCAGAAUACAGGAGUGGGUAGCCUUUCCCUUCUCCAGGGGAUCUUCCCAA